rnacentral:rRNA from 1 species
AACGAACGCUGGCGGCAUGCCUAACACAUGCAAGUCGAACGAGACCUUCGGGUCUAGUGGCGCACGGGUGCGUAACGCGUGGGAACCUGCCCUUAGGUUCGGAAUAACUCCCCGAAAGGGGUGCUAAUACCGGAUAAUGUCUUCGGACCAAAGAUUUAUCGCCUUUGGAUGGGCCCGCGUUGGAUUAGCUAGUUGGUAGGGUAAAAGCCUACCAAGGCGACGAUCCAUAGCUGGUCUGAGAGGAUGAUCAGCCACACUGGGACUGAGACACGGCCCAGACUCCUACGGGAGGCAGCAGUGGGGAAUAUUGGACAAUGGGCGAAAGCCUGAUCCAGCAAUGCCGCGUGAGUGAUGAAGGCCUUAGGGUUGUAAAGCUCUUUUAGCCGGGAUGAUAAUGACAGUACCGGGAGAAUAAGCGCCGGCUAACUCCGUG